CCAUGACCACUUCAAAUCACUGACUGUGGUCAUUGUGCUUGGAGUAACCCUUGAAGAGCUUUUUUUGUCCACUUCGGCUUUAUUUCCAGGAAACACGCACCUGACAUUGCUAUUUUCUAUUUUGUUAAUUAAUCAAUAGGGAGAAAGAUUUAAAGUAAAAUAUGUGCCAGAUUUCAUUCCUCCUGUUCUUCUAGCAGGGCUAGG